AGGUCGGUGCCCGACCCGUCUUGAAACACGCACCAAGGAGUCUAACAUGUGUGCGAGUCACUGGGUCUCGAAGAAGCCCACGGGCGCAAAGAAAUCGAUUCUUUUUUCGUAGUCGGGAUCCCCCGCUUUAACGCGAGGGGCGCACUGACGGCCUGCCACACUCUCCGGAGUCGAGGCGGAGCCUGAGCACACACGUUGUGACCCGAAAGAUGGUGAAUGCCUAGACAGGACGCAGACAGGGGAAACCCUGUUGUAAGUCCGAAGCGGUUCUGACGUGCGUAUAGGGGCGAAAGACUAAUCGAACCAUCUAGUAGCUGGUUCCCUCCGAAGUUUCCCUCAGGAUAGCUGGCGCUCGAUCGAAAUUUAGUCACGAUCGGUAAAGCGAAUGAUUAGAGGCCUUAGGGCCGAAACGACCUCAACCUAUUCUCAUACUUUCAAUGGUCGUAGAGUCCUCCUUUCUCGGUUGGACGGUGGAUGAGAAUGCCUAGUGGGCCACUUUUGGUAAGCAGAACUGGCGCUGUGGGAUGAACCAAACGCCGGGUUAAGGCGCCCGAUGCAGAGACGCUCAUGAGACCCCAUAAAAGGUGUUGGUUGCUCUAGACAGCAGGACUGUGGCAAUGGAAGUCGACAUCCGCUAAGGAGUGUUUAACAACUAACCUGCCAAAGCAACUAGCCCUGAAAAUGGAUUGCGCUCCAGCGUCGAGCCCAUACCCGGCCGGUUCUCUAAAAGUUUUUAUAUUUUUAUCAGAGAACUGAGUAGGAGGGCGGUGGCGUGGAAGGGCGUGGCGCGAGCCUGCCUGGAGCCUCCACCGGUGCAGAUCUUGGUGUUAGUAGCAAAUACUCAAGUGAGAACCUUGAGGACUGAAGUUGGAGAAGGGUUCCAUGUCAACAGCGUUUGAACAUGGGUGAGUCGGUCCUCAGCCAACGGAGAGAUCCGUGCUAGGCGAGACUUUACGAGUCACGCUAUGGACGAAAGGUUAUCGGGUUAAGAUUCCCGAACCCGGACACGAAAUAAAUGAGACCCCGGUCUCUGGUGCGGUAACGCAAACGAACUCGGAGACGCCCGUGGAGGCACCGCGGAAGAGAUAUAUUUUUUUUCUCUUCGUAAGAGGUGCGAAGUCCCUGGAAAGGUGUCAUGCCGAGAUAGGGACAGGCGGCCUCGAAAGAGCACCUCGUUUCACGAGUUGUGCCUGGGACCCCUUUACAGGCCCUUGCAAAUCCGAGGGAGAGUCUAUGAUUUUCGUGCCGGGCCGUACCUAUAUCCGCAUCAGGUCUCCCAGGUGAACAGCCUCUAGUCACUAGAACAAUGUAGGUAAGGCAAGUCGGAAAAUUCGAUCCGUAACUUCGGGAUAAGGAUUGGCUCUGGGGGCCCCAUUCGUCGGGCUGUGUCUCUGAAGCCCUGUUUGCGUACCGUUCGGACUGGGAUUCUCCGGGGUUCUGGACUGAUAUGUGCCUGCGGGGUGGAAGUACGCAGUUUUUUUUUCUUCGGUGCCCCUUCUCGGGGAACCUUGGAGUGACGACGGACGCUAUGGGGCCGACUCAGAACUGGCACGGACCCUGGGAAUCCGACUGUCUUAUUAAAACAAAGCAUUGCGAUGGUCUGCGAGAGAUGUUGACGCAAUGUGAUUUCUGCCCAGUGCUCUGAAUGUCAAAGUGAAGAAAUUCAUUGAAGCUCGGGUAAACGGCGGGAGUAACUAUGAGUCUCUUAAGG